UAGGUUGGCCACUCUCAGGUUCUGCAACC
rnacentral:piRNA from 1 species